rnacentral:rRNA from 1 species
UACGGGGGGGGGCAAGCGUUGUUCGGAAUUACUGGGCGUAAAGGGCUCGUAGGUGGCCAACUAAGUCAGACGUGAAAUCCCUCAGCUCAACUGGGGAACUGCGUCUGAUACUGGUCGGCUUGAGUGCAGGAGAGGAACGCGGAUUCCAGGUGUAGCGGUGAAAUGCGUAGAUAUCUGGAGGAACACCGGUGGCGAAGGCGGCGUUCUGGACUGCAACUGACACUGAGGAACGAAAGCCAGGGGAGCAAACGGG